GAUGAAGAACGCAGCGAAAUGCGAUACUUGGUGUGAAUUGCAGUAUCCCGUGAACCAUCGAGUCUUUGAACGCAAGUUGCGCCCGAAGCCACUAGGCCGAGGGCCCGCCUGCCUGGGCGUCACACGCCGUUGCCCCCCCAUCUACUCCUUCGGGAUUGCGGGGGGGCGGAUGAUGGCCUCCUGUGCGCCUAGCCGCGCGGUUGGCAUAAAUACCAAGUCCUCGGCGACGCACGCCACGACAAUCGGUGGUUGCGAAACCUCGGUUGCCCGUCGUGUGCGUUCGUCGCGCAUCGAGGGCUCGAAAAAAUGCUCGGCUCCGGCUGGGCUUUCAACGCGACCCCAGGUCAGGCGGGGUUACCCGCUGAAUUUAAGCAUAUCAAUAAGCGGAGGA
rnacentral:misc_RNA from 1 species